GACAGAGGUGCCAAGCGUUAGGCGGAAUCACUGGGCUUAAAGCGUGUGUAGGCGGAUGCCUAAGUACCUUGUGAAAUCCCACGGCUCAACCGUGGAACUGCUGGGUAUACUGGGUGUCUUGGGUCAUCUAGGGGCUGCCGGAACAAAUGGUGGAGCGGUGAAAUUCGUAGAUAUCAUUUGGAACGCCAACGGCGAAAGCAGGCAGCUGGGGAUGCACCGACGCUGAGACACGAAAGCCAGGGGAGCGAACGGG
rnacentral:rRNA from 1 species